GACGAACGCUGGCGGCGUGCUUAACACAUGCAAGUCGAACGGACAGGCCCUGCUUUUGUGCGGUUCUCGAUUGGCGAACGGGGGAGUGUCACGUGUGUAACCUGCCCUUGACUGUGUGAUAACUUUACGGAACUGGGGCUAAUACCGGAUAUGAGCUCCUGCUGCAUGUGGGGGGUUGGAAAGUGUCGGCGGUGGGGGAUCGACUCGCUGCUUAUGAGCUGGAUGGUGGGGUAGGUGCUGACCAAGGCUUUGACGGGUAGCCGGCCUGAGAGGGGGGACGGGGACCUUGCGACUGAGAUACGGCGCAGACUGCUACGGGAGGCAGCGGUGGAGAAUAUUGCAGAGUGGCCGGGAGCCUGAUGCAGCGACGCCGGGUGCGGGAUGACGGGCUUUGGGUUGUAAACCACUUUCGACGGUGACGAAGCGUGCGUGACGGUAAUGGAUAAAGAAGCACCGGCUAACUACGUG
rnacentral:rRNA from 1 species